AACGAACGCUGGCGGCAGGCCUAACACAUGCAAGUCGAGCGCGCCUUCGGGUGGGCGGCAGACGGGUGAGUAACGCGUGGGAAUAUGCCCUUCUCUACGGAAUAGUCCUGGGAAACUGGGGGUAAUACCGUAUACGCCCUUUGGGGGAAAGUUUUAUCGGGGAAGGAUUAGCCCGCGUUGGAUUAGGUCGUUGGUGGGGUAAUGGCCUACCAAGCCGACGAUCCAUAGCUGGGUUGAGAGGAUGAUCAGCCACACUGGGACUGAGACACGGUCCAGACUCCUACGGGAGGCAGCAGUGGGGAAUCUUAGACAAUGGGGGCAACCCUGAUCUAGCCAUGCCGCGUGAGUGAUGAAGGCCGUAGGGUUGUAAAGCUCUUUCAGCUGGGAAGAUAAUGACGGUACCAGCAGAAGAAGCCCCGGCUAACUCCGUG
rnacentral:rRNA from 1 species